rnacentral:rRNA from 1 species
AUUUGGGGGAUGAAGUUAUAUAUUGAAAUAUAAAUAUAUACGCAUCGACUAUGUCGUAUAAAGUUCUAAAUAGAAGAUUGAUUAUGACAGAUUUCUAUUUAUGUGUCUCGACCAAUUCUUGUGCCAGCAGUCGCGGCAACACAAGCGAGACUAGUGUUAUUCAUCUUUAUUAGGUUUAAAGGGUACCUAGACGGUAUUUUCAGCCUGUGCAGGGUACAAAAAUACUAGAGUUUUAUUUGAGAGGUAAAUAUUAGGACUAUUGGUGUAAAGAUGAAAUUUUUUGAUACUAAUGGGACGGAUAACGGCGAAGGCAAUCCUCUAUAUAUGAACUGACGUUAAGGGACGAAGGCUUGGGGAGCGAAUAGGAUUAGAUACCCUAGUAGUCCAGGCAGAAAAUUAUGAAUNNNNNNNNNGACCNAGAAAAAAUUGGUGUAUAAAUGAAAGUGUNNGCNUUCCACCUCAAGAGUAAUGUGGC